rnacentral:rRNA from 1 species
GGUGCGGCAUGCUUACACAUGCAGUCGAACGAUGAUGCCCAGCUUGCUGGGUGGAUUAGUGGCGAACGGGUGAGUAACACGUGAGUAACCUGCCCCUGACUCUGGGAUAAGCGUUGGAAACGACGUCUAAUACUGGAUAUGAUCACUGGCCGCAUGGUCUGGUGGUGGAAAGAUUUUUUGGUUGGGGAUGGACUCGCGGCCUAUCAGCUUGUUGGUGAGGUAAUGGCUCACCAAGGCGACGACGGGUAGCCGGCCUGAGAGGGUGACCGGCCACACUGGGACUGAGACACGGCCCAGACUCCUACGGGAGGCAGCAGUGGGGAAUAUUGCACAAUGGGCGAAAGCCUGAUGCAGCAACGCCGCGUGAGGGAUGACGGCCUUCGGGUUGUAAACCUCUUUUAGUAGGGAAGAAGCGAAAGUGACGGUACCUGCAGAAAAAGCACCGGCUAACUACGUGCCAGCAGCCGCGGUAAUACGUAGGGUGCAAGCGUUGUCCGGAAUUAUUGGGCGUAAAGAGCUCGUAGGCGGUUUGUCGCGUCUGCUGUGAAAUCCCGAGGCUCAACCUCGGGCUUGCAGUGGGUACGGGCAGACUAGAGUGCGGUAGGGGAGAUUGGAAUUCCUGGUGUAGCGGUGGAAUGCGCAGAUAUCAGGAGGAACACCGAUGGCGAAGGCAGAUCUCUGGGCCGUAACUGACGCUGAGGAGCGAAAGCAUGGGGAGCGAACAGGAUUAGAUACCCUGGUAGUCCAUGCCGUAAACGUUGGGCGCUAGAUGUAGGGACCUUUCCACGGUUUCUGUGUCGUAGCUAACGCAUUAAGCGCCCCGCCUGGGGAGUACGGCCGCAAGGCUAAACUCAGGAGAUAUAUAUCGAG